rnacentral:pre_miRNA from 1 species
AGAUAUGUUUGAUAUUCUUGGUUGUGGCUUUCCAACUCAACCAGAUAUCAGACAUAUUAUUA